GCUAAUUUUCGCGCAUGCGCAGUCGGCAGCUAAAUUUCGCGCAUGCGCAGUCGGCCGCUAAAUUUCGCGCAUGCGCAUACCACAUUAUAUUAUAUUUAAUUGGUCUUGUUGGAACACACCGCUAGGUAUACAUUAACUAAAAGUGUUGCUCGCUUCUGGCUCGGAUGCGGCUGUGCACUUGGGCGCGUGCAAUUCCACAGACUGCAACUGGAUUUUAUAAAGAUAAGAGAAAAGAAUGCUUUCGCCGUGGAUUUGACAUGAAAAGGGAAGCCCGGGCAGAAGAACGAGGAGCUGUACUCUCUGGGUGAAGGAGGAUUUGGCGCAGUGUUUGCAGGCUACUGACCUGAGGACCUACUGCCUGGACACCUGAAGAACCUCCCCCUGGAAGUGGCACUCAUGCACAUGGCUGGUGUUGACUCAUUCAUUGCUGGAGGGACCUCAAGCUUCUCCAUACAGCUGCUGAACUGGUCUAAGCUUCAGGAUGAGGUCGUGUUGGUGAUGGAGCCUAUGCUCCAAUGCUCUCCUUGGACCCCUUCGAUUACAUCCUGGCCAGCGGAUGCCUGCAGGAGGAAGAAGCCAAGGUACUUCUAAGGCAGCUAGUCGAAGGCGUGAUUGAGGUCCAUGCCAGAGGGGUUCUGCACUGUGACCUCAAGCCAUAGAACAUCCUGGUUCAGAUGUACAGUUUGGAACCACACCUUCAUAUUCUGUUCUUCUGGACCUUUCUCAUGAGUGGUUUACCCAUGAGGCCAAAUCCUCCACAGUGUUGCAGAUAGGAAUCAUCCUGCUGCGUGUGAGAGGUGACCCUUCAACACCAGCACGAAGAUCACCUCAAAGAAGUCUCAGAUCAUCUCUCCACCAUCUGCUCUACGACCACCCCUAGCUAAGUAUACACCACGACACAGCCACCACAUCAGGCACACCUUAGUCAGAUUUUUACAUUUUUCAAUUUGUGUAUUGACCCAAGGAGGAUGGGUUCCUCUCAAGGUUUCUAUCUCUCUUUCUGAGAGAAUUUUCUUUGCCGCUGUCUCCUUUGUGCUUACUCAAAAGAGGUUUGGACACUUUUUUUUUUUUUAACUGUUCUUAAUUUUUUUAAUGACUGUACAUUUCUUUGUCAAUAAAUGUUUUUUU